rnacentral:rRNA from 1 species
AACGUAGGGGGCGAGCGUUGGCCGGAAUUACUGGGCGUAAAGGGCGCGUAGGCGGUUAUUUAAGUCAGAGGUGAAAACUGUAGGCUCAACCGGGAGACUGCCUUUGAAACUGGAGGACUUGAGGGAAGGAGAGGGGAGUGGAAUUCCCAGUGUAGCGGUGAAAUGCGUAGAGAUUGGGAGGAACACCAGUGGCGAAGGCGGCUCUCUGGACUGUUACUGACGCUGAGGCGCGAAAGCGUGGGGAGCAAACAGGAUUAGAUACCCGCGUAGUCC